rnacentral:piRNA from 1 species
UUGACCUGGGUGGUGCCAGCUGAUCCCC